GCAAAGGAUAUCGUGGAACCUUUCGCUAUCUAUAUCGCUCAACUCAUUCAUCUCUUUCUGCAGUUCUGGCCGGCUCAAUUUCUUUUAGAUUACAGCAUCCUUCCUUACGAAUCAAUUUGCAAAUCAAAUUGGUAUUAUACUUCGAGGCGAUGUCGAAAACUUCUUUUUUUAAUUAUGAAUAGAAGCGUGUUACCAUGCAAAAUAACUGCUGGCAAGGUCGUGCCUCUGACUAUUGAAAACUUUGGCAAGGUUCUAAAAACAAUGAUGUCUUAUUUCACAAUGCUGCGAUCCUUCAAUUGAUAACUUCAACACAUCUCUGUCAUUCGGCUUUUUAACAAAAUCAUAAGAUGUAUUUACUCAUGGCCACGACAGUUUCUCUGUCAUACAACUUUUUAACAAAAUAGUAAAAUAUAUAUAUAUUAACUCGUGGUUUUUGCCAUAACAGCAAGCGAUCGAUUUGGAUUACUUUAAAGAUAUU